rnacentral:tRNA from 1 species
GGCUGUGUAGCUCAGUGAUAAAGUACUUGCCUAACAGGCAUGAGGCUCUGAGUUAGAUCCUCAAACGUAUCCA